rnacentral:tRNA from 1 species
GCCGGGGUGGCGGAAAGGCAGACGCAGGGGACUUAAAAUCCCCUGGGACAAAAUCCCAUGCGGGUUCAAGUCCCGCCCCCGGCA